rnacentral:rRNA from 1 species
CGAGAGGCCCAAACGUUAUUCGGAAUUACUGGGCUUAAAGAGUUCGUAGGCGGUAUGACAAGUAGGGUGUGAAAGCCCUCGGCUUAACCGAGGAAUAGCGCUCUAAACUGUCGUACUCGAGGAACCUAGAGGUGAGCAGAACAGAUGGUGGAGCGGUGAAAUGCGUUGAUAUCAUCUGGAAUACCGGAGGCGAAGGCGGCUCACUGGGGGUUUUCUGACGCUGAGGAACGAAAGCCAGGGUAGCGAACGGGAUUAGAUACCCCGGUAGUCCUGGCCGUAAACGAUGAGCACUAGGCCGGAGCCCUGCACAGGGUUUCGGCCGUAGCUAAAGUGUUAAGUGCUCCGCCUGGGGAGUAUGGUCGCAAGGCUG